CUCCCCAUAGUUCAACAGGAUAGAACAAUCCUCUCCUAAGGGAUAAAUGUAGGUUCAAGUCCUGCUGGGGAGA
rnacentral:tRNA from 1 species